AGAGAAGCUUGCUUCUCUUGAGAGCGGCGGACGGGUGAGUAAUACCUAGGAAUCUGCCUGAUAGUGGGGGAUAACGUUCGGAAACGGACGCUAAUACCGCAUACGUCCUACGGGAGAAAGCAGGGGACCUUCGGGCCUUGCGCUAUCAGAUGAGCCUAGGUCGGAUUAGCUAGUUGGUGAGGUAAUGGCUCACCAAGGCUACGAUCCGUAACUGGUCUGAGAGGAUGAUCAGUCACACUGGAACUGAGACACGGUCCAGACUCCUACGGGAGGCAGCAGUGGGGAAUAUUGGACAAUGGGCGAAAGCCUGAUCCAGCCAUGCCGCGUGUGUGAAGAAGGUCUUCGGAUUGUAAAGCACUUUAAGUUGGGAGGAAGGGCAGUUACCUAAUACGUGAUUGUCUUGACGUUACCGACAGAAUAAGCACCGGCUAACUCUGUGCCAGCAGCCGCGGUAAUACAGAGGGUGCAAGCGUUAAUCGGAAUUACUGGGCGUAAAGCGCGCGUAGGUGGUUUGUUAAGUUGAAUGUGAAAUCCCCGGGCUCAACCUGGGAACUGCAUCCAAAACUGGCAAGCUAGAGUAUGGUAGAGGGUAGUGGAAUUUCCUGUGUAGCGGUGAAAUGCGUAGAUAUAGGAAGGAACACCAGUGGCGAAGGCGACUACCUGGACUGAUACUGACACUGAGGUGCGAAAGCGUGGGGAGCAAACAGGAUUAGAUACCCUGGUAGUCCACGCCGUAAACGAUGUCAACUAGCCGUUGGGAGUCUUGAACUCUUAGUGGCGCAGCUAACGCAUUAAGUUGACCGCCUGGGGAGUACGGCCGCAAGGUUAAAACUCAAAUGAAUUGACGGGGGCCCGCACAAGCGG
rnacentral:rRNA from 1 species